rnacentral:rRNA from 1 species
AAUCAACGCUGGCGGCGUGCCUCAGACAUGCAAGUCGAACGAGAAAGUUUCCUUCGGGGAAUGAGUAAAGUGGCGCACGGGUGAGUAACACGUAGGUAAUCUACCUUCGGGUGGGGAAUAACCCAGGGAAACUUGGGCUAACACCGCAUAAUGCAGCGGCACCACAUGGUGACAGUUGUUAAAGCGGGGGAUUUUAGGUACCUCGCGCCUGAAGAGGAGCCUGCGGCGGAUUAGCAGUUGGUAAGGUAACGGCUUACCAAGGCGACGAUCCGUAACCGGCCUGAGAGGGCGGGUCGGUCACACUGACACUGACAUACGGGUCAGACUCCUACGGGAGGCAGCAGUCGGGAAUUUUGGGCAAUGGGCGAAAGCCUGACCCAGCAACG